rnacentral:rRNA from 1 species
GACGAACGCUGGCGGCGUGCCUAAUACAUGCAAGUUGAGCGCUGAAGGUUGGUACUUGUACCAACUGGAUGAGCAGCGAACGGGUGAGUAACGCGUGGGGAAUCUGCCUUUGAGCGGGGGACAACAUUGGGAAACGAAUGCUAAUACCGCAUAAAAACUUUAAACACAAGUUUUAAGUUUGAAAGAUGCAAUUGCAUCACUCAAAGAUGAUCCCGCGUUGUAUUAGCUAGUUGGUGAGGUAAAGGCUCACCAAGGCGAUGAUACAUAGCCGACCCGAGAGGGUGAUCGGCCACCUUUGGACUGGGACACGGCUCAAACUCCUUCGGGAAGCAGCAGUAGGGAAUCUUCGGCCAUGGACGAAAGUCUUACCGCGCAACGCCGCGUGAGUGAAGGAGGUUUUCGGAUCGUAAAACUCUGUUGGUAGAGAAGAACGUUGGUGAGAGUGGAAAGCUCAUCAAGUGACGGUAACUACCCAGAAAGGGACGGCUAACUACGUG